CAUUUCAAUUAUUUUGGCUUACCUUGCUUCGCCCGACUGAAGACGAUACCCGCUGCUGAGAAAUAGGGGCUGGGAACGACUGCGAUGGCGUCUGCUGUCGCAUUUUCCUGACGUUCAGAGAACGCGUCGUCACAAGAGGGUUUCAGCCUGCAAAUGGUUGAGUAAUUCUUCUUUCCAGUGUUCUUCCUCUUCAGGUGUCUGGCAUGCGUGAAGGAAUCCGCCGAGGUGCUGACUGUUUGAAACUGCUGACAUUUGAAAGCAGACUUUGUGACGUUCACCAUACAUUGUACUUCUUCUUUUGGGUUCACUAUUGUCUCAAAACUGACACAGUUUUGUUUAAUUGAAGCAGGCAUACUCUGUUGUUGUCUCUUAGCACCUGUUGUAUUAUAAUAAAAGCUUUGAAGUUUGA